rnacentral:rRNA from 1 species
GAUCUGUGAAAUCCCUGGGCUUAACCUGGGCAGGUCAGAUGAUACUGGUUGACUCGAGUAUGGGAGAGGGUAGUGGAAUUUCCGGUGUAGCGGUGAAAUGCGUAGAGAUCGGAAGGAACACCAGUGGCGAAGGCGGCUACCUGGCCUAAUACUGACACUGAGGCACGAAAGCGUGGGGAGCAAACAGGAUUAGAUACCCUGGUAGUCCACGCUGUUAACGAUGUCA